GACGAACGCUGGCGGCGUGCUUAACACAUGCAAGUCGAACGGAAAGGCCCUGCUUGCAGGGUACUCGAGUGUCGAACGGGUGAGUAACACGCGGGUGAUCUGCCCUGCACUUCGGGAUAAGCCUUGGGAACUGUGUCUAAUACCGGAUAGGAGCCAUUUUUAGUGUGAUGGUUGGAAAGUUUUUUCGGUGUAGGAUGAGCUCGCGGCCUAUCUGCUUGCUGGUGGGGUAAUGGGCUACCAAGGCGGCUGCGGGUAGCCGGCCUGGGGGGGUGGACGGCCACAAUGGGGCUGAGAAACGGGCCAGGCUCCUACGGGGGGGAACAGUGGGGAAUAAUGCACAAUGGGCGCGAGCCUGAUGCAGCGACGCCGCGGGGGGGAAGACGGCCUUCGGGUUGUAAACUCGUUUCGGUAGGGACGAAGCUUUUUGUGACGGUACCUAGAUAAGAAGCACCGGCUAACUACGUG
rnacentral:rRNA from 1 species